UACGUAGGUGGCAAGCGUUGUCCGGAUUUACUGGGCGUAAAGAGCGCGCAGGCGGUCGAUUUAGUCGUGUGUGAAAGCCCCCGGCUCAACUGGGGAGGGUCACGCGAUACUGAUCGACUCGAAGGCAGGAGAGGGUAGUGGAAUUCCCGGUGUAGUGGUGAAAUGCGUAGAUAUCGGGAGGAACACCGGUGGCGAAGGCGGGUCUCUGGGCCGAUACUGACGCUGAGGAGCGAAAGCGUGGGGAGCGAACAGG
rnacentral:rRNA from 1 species